GUAAUAACCGGAUAACACAUGAAACCGCAUGGUUUCAUGAUGAAAGAACGGUUUUGCUGUCACUUAUAGAUGGACCCGCGGCGUAUUAGCUAGUUGGUAAGGUAACGGCUUACCAAGGCAACGAUACGUAGCCGACCUGAGAGGGUGAUCGGCCACACUGGAACUGAGACACGGUCCAGACUCCUACGGGAGGCAGCAGGC
rnacentral:rRNA from 1 species